rnacentral:rRNA from 1 species
UACGGGGGGAGCAAGCGUUGUUCGGAUUUACUGGGCGUAAAGGGCGCGUAGGCGGUCAGCACAAGUCAGAUGUGAAAUCUCCGGGCUUAACUCGGAAAGGUCAACUGAUACUGUGCGACUAGAGUGCAGAAGGGGCAACUGGAAUUCUCGGUGUAGCGGUGAAAUGCGUAGAUAUCGAGAGGAACACCUGCGGCGAAGGCGGGUUGCUGGGCUGACACUGACGCUGAUGCGCGAAAGCCAGGGGAGCGAACGGG